rnacentral:rRNA from 1 species
GUGGGGAAUAUUGCACAAUGGGCGAAAGCCUGAUGCAGCGACGCCGCGUGCGGGAUGAAGGCCUUCGGGUUGUAAACCGCUUUCAGCAGGGACGAGGCCGUAAGGUGACGGUACCUGCAGAAGAAGCCCCGGCUAACUACGUGCCAGCAGCCGCGGUAAUACGUAGGGGGCAAGCGUUAUCCGGCUUCAUUGGGCGUAAAGCGCGCGUAGGCGGCCUGUUAGGUCGGACGUCAAAUCCGGGGGCUCAACCCCCGUCCGCUUUCGAUACAGGCAGGCUUGAGUUUGGUAGGGGAAGGUGGAAUUCCCAGGGUAGCGGUGGAAUGCGCAGAUAUUGGGAAGAACGCCGGUGGCGAAGGCGGCCUUCUGGGCCAUAACUGACGCUGAGGCGCGAAAGCUAGGGGAGCGAACAGGAUUAGAUACCCCGGUAGUCC